UACGUAGGGGGCAAGCGUUGUCCGGAAUCAUUGGGCGUAAAGCGCGUGUAGGCGGCUCGGUAAGUCUGCUCUGAAAGUCCAAGGCUCAACCUUGGGAUGCGGGUGGAUACUGCCGGGCUCGAGUCCGGAAGAGGCGAGUGGAAUUCCCGGUGUAGCGGUGAAAUGCGCAGAUAUCGGGAGGAACACCAAUGGCGAAGGCAGCUCGCUGGGACGUGACUGACGCUGAGACGCGAAAGCGUGGGGAGCAAACAGGG
rnacentral:rRNA from 1 species